CUGGUACUGAGACACGGACCAGACUCCUACGGGAGGCAGCAGUGAGGAAUAUUGGUCAAUGGACGAAAGUCUGAACCAGCUAUGCCGCGUGAAGGAAUGAAGGCUCUAUGGGUUGUAAACUUCUUUUUUAUGGGAAGAAACCCUCGAACGUGUUCGAGGCUGACGGUACCAUAAGAAUAAGCACCGGCUAACUCCGUGCCAGCAGCCGCGGUAAUACGGAGGGUGCAAGCGUUAUCCGGAUUUAUUGGGUUUAAAGGGUCCGUAGGCGGAUUAAUAAGUCAGUGGUGAAAGCCUACAGCUCAACUGUAGAACUGCCAUUGAUACUGUUAAUCUUGAGUUUGGUUGAGGUAAGCGGAAUGAGACAUGUAGCGGUGAAAUGCUUAGAUAUGUCUCAGAACACCAAUUGCGAAGGCAGCUUACUAAACCAAUACUGACGCUGAUGGACGAAAGCGUGGGGAGCGAACAGGAUUAGAUACCCUGGUAGUCCCACGCCGUAAACGAUGAUUACUCGUUGCUAGCGAUAUACUGUUARGUGACCAAGCGAAAGUGUUAAGUAAUCCACCUGGGGAGUACGAUCGCAAGAUUGAAACUCAAAGGAAUUGACCGGGGCCCGCACAAGCAGUGGAGCAUGUGGUUUAAUUCGAUGAUACGCGAGGAACCUUACCAGGGCUUAAAUGUGCUAUGACCUCUCGGGAAACCGAGAUUCUCUUCGGAGCAAAGUACAAGGUGCUGCAUGGUUGUCGUCAGCUCGUGCCGUGAGGUGUCGGGUUAAGUCCCAUAACGAGCGCAACCCCUAUCUUUAGUUGCCAGCGAGUAAUGUCGGGGACUCUAAAGAAACUGCCCGCGUAAGCGAGGAGGAAGGUGGGGAUGACGUCAAAUCAUCACGGCCCUUACGUCCUGGGCUACACACGUGCUACAAUGGUGCAUACAGAGGGCAGCAACCUGGUGACAGGAAGCGAAUCUCGAAAGUGCAUCUCAGUUCGGAUUGAAGUCUGCAACUCGACUUCAUGAAGCCGGAAUUGCUAGUAAUCGCGCAUCAGCCAUGGCGCGGUGAAUACGUUCCCGGGCCUUGUACACACCGCCCGUCAAGCCAUGGAAGCUGGGGGUGCCUGAAGUCGGUAACCGCAAGGAGCUGCCUAGGGUAAAACUGGUGACUGGGGCUAAGUCGUAACAAGGUAGCCGUAACCGGAAGGUGCGGCUGGAUCACCU
rnacentral:rRNA from 1 species